UACGAAGGGUGCAAACGUUGCUCGGAAUUAUUGGGCGUAAAGCGCACGUAGGCGGCUUAGCAAGUCGGAAGUGAAAUCCCUCGGCUCAACCAAGGAAGUGCUUUCGAAACUGCUGAGCUUGAGUACUUAAGAGGAUCGUGGAAUUCCCGGUGUAGCGGUGAAAUGCGUAGAGAUCGUAAGGAAGACCAGUGGCGAAGGCGGGUCUCUGGACAGUUCCUGACACUGAGGCACGAAGGCCAGGGGAGCAAACGGG
rnacentral:rRNA from 1 species